CUUUUGGACCAUGGGGAGGUCCAUUUGGACCUUGGGGAGGACCUUUCGGACCAUUUGAUGGACCGUUUGGUGGACCAUUCGGAGGACCCUUUGGCGGACCAUUUGGAGGACCCUUUGGAGGACCAUUUGGACCUUUUGGACCCUGGUAAACAACUGGAUGAGAAUGUACAGCGGAUCAAUGGAUACUAACAAUUUAAGAACAUCAUUUUGCUUUGCUUAUGCCAGAAUAUGCAUGAUUUGUAUAUAAUUAGUCUUUAAAUUUCGACUUUUCAUCUGAUUACUAUUCAUUAGUUCAAUUAUAUCACUAUCAUUAUCAGUUCUUCACUUAUUCUCAUUACAUAUGAAAAUGUUUAAGUUAUAAUUUCAUAAAAAUAGUUUUUCCAAAUAUGA